UGUACAGAUGGGGUCUCGCUAUGUUGCCCAGGCUGGUCUCAAACUCAGAUCCUCAAGCGAUCCUCCUUCCUUGGCCUCCCAAACUGCUGAGAAGUGGUCUCACUUUGUCACCCAGGUUGGAAUGCAGCAGUACAAGCAUGGCUCACUGCAGCCUCAACCUCUCAGGCUCACGCAAUCCAAGCUAUCCUCCCACCUCAGCCUCUUGAGUAGCUGGGACUACAAGUGCCUGCCACAUCUAAUUUUUUGUAUUUUUUGUAGAGAUGGGGUUUUGCCAUGUUGCCCAGGCUGGUCUCGAACUUCUGAGCGCAAGUGAUUCAUCUGCCUUAGCCUCCCAAAGUGCUGGGAUUACAGGCGUGAGCUACUUUUUUUUUUUAAACAGAUAAUCAACAGGGCCAAAGCAAUUAAGUCAUUUUCCCAGUCACUUGGCCAAUAAGCAGCAAGUCAAUGACCAGAACAAAUUAUACAACUUUCAUCUUCCCAUAACUGAUCUAAGCCUACAAAAAAAACGGAUGAGACUAGACAGAAGAAACAGUGUCAUCUUCAUCCCCUGGUCAUCUACUCAAGAACUACGCAAAAGCCAUAUGUAACAGAAAUCUAGGACCACAGGCUACAGUGCCAUGGCACAAACAUGGCUCAAUGCAGCCUCAACAGCUUGGGCUCAAGCAAUUCUCCCACCUCAGCCUCCAGAGUAGCUGGGGCUACAGGCAUAUGCCCCACUGUGCCUGGCUAAUUUUUUUUUUUAAACAGGGUCUUGCCAUGUUACUCAGACUGGUCUCAAACUCCUAGGCUCAAGCAAUCCUCCCACCUUGGCCUCCCAAGGUGCUGGGGUUACAUGCAUGAGCCACCAUGCCCGGCCAUAUAUCCUACUAUUCUUAAGAUUCAG
rnacentral:antisense_RNA from 1 species